CCUACGGGAGGCAGCAGUGAGGAAUAUUGGUCAAUGGACGAGAGUCUGAACCAGCCACGUAGCGUGAAGGAUGACUGCCCUAUGGGUUGUAAACUUCUUUUAUAUGGGAAUAAAAUGUUCCACGUGUGGGAUUUUGUAUGUACCAUAUGAAUAAGGAUCGGCUAACUCCGUGCCAGCAGCCGCGGUAAUACGGAGGAUCCGAGCGUUAUCCGGAUUUAUUGGGUUUAAAGGGAGCGUAGGUGGAUUGUUAAGUCAGUGGUGAAAGUUUGGGGCUCAACCGUAAAAUUGCAGUUGAAACUGGCAGUCUUGAGUACAGUAGAGGUAGGCGGAAUGCGUGGUGUAGCGGUGAAAUGCUUAGAUAUCACGAAGAACUCCGAUUGCGAAGGCAGUUCACUGGACUGCAACUGACACUGAGGCUCGAAAGUGUGGGUAUCAAACAGGAUUAGAUACCCGAGUAGUC
rnacentral:rRNA from 1 species